UCUUUGUUAGUAUAUCGGUUAGUACACGCGCCUGUCAUUCACCAGCUCGGAGCUGCAUGUAUAUAGUGACCGCGCGAAAGCUGGGUUCGACUCCCAGACAGAGAG